GGACUACCCGGGUUUCUAAUCCCGUUCGCUCCCCUAGCCUUCGCGCCUCAGCGUCAGGUUCGGCCCAGGGGGCCGCCUUCGCCACGGGUAUUCUUGCUGAUCUCUACGCAUUUCACCGCUACACCAGCAGUUCUACCCCCCUCUACCGUCCUCUAGCUCGCCAGUCUACAUCGCUCCCUCCCCGUUGAGCAGGGAGAUUUCACGAGGUACUUGACGUGCCGCCUGCGCGCCCUUUACGCCCAGUAAAUCCGGACAACGCUCGCCUCCUACGUAUUACCGCGGCGGCUGGCAC
rnacentral:rRNA from 1 species